UGUCUCUGGCGGCUCGCAUCCACUAUACAUCCAUAAACCCGUGUGCACUGGUCUAAGGAGUAAGAAAGAAGAAAGGUAGGGGAAAUAGAAUGCAUGUGCUUUGCACAAAACUCUCUGUUUAUCUCCACUCUCUUUCUCUCUCCGGAUAAUUACAAACUCGUAUGGAUUUGUAUGAACGUGCUAUAAAACGUCGGACUUCUCCUGGCCACCACUAAUACCUCACCUUUUUACAACGGAUCUCUUGGGUCUCCCAUCGAUGAAUAAC
rnacentral:misc_RNA from 1 species